rnacentral:rRNA from 1 species
UACGUAGGGUGCGAGCGUUGCCCGGAUUUAUUGGGCGUAAAGAGCGUGUAGGCGGUCUGGUAGGUCCGUUGUGAAAACUCGAGGCUCAACCUCGAGACGCCGAUGGAAACCCUCAGACUAGAGUCCGGAAGAGGCGAGUGGAAUUCCUGGUGUAGCGGUGAAAUGCGCAGAUAUCAGGAGGAACACCAAUGGCGAAGGCAGCUCGCUGGGACGGUACUGACGCUGAGACGCGAAAGCGUGGGGAGCAAACAGG